rnacentral:rRNA from 1 species
GAUGAACGCUGGCGGCAUGCCUAACACAUGCAAGUCGAUCGGUAAGGCUCUUCGUAGUACACGAGAGGCGGACGGCUGAGUAACGCGUAGGAACACACCCUGCAGUUAGGGAUAAGACACCGAAAGGUGUUCUAAUACCUCAUACGGUCUUCGGAUUAAAGCAUUUAUGCGCUGAAGGAGUGGCCUGCGUCAUAUUAGAUCGGUGGUGAGGUAAUGGCUCACCAAGUCGAUGAUGUGUAGCUGGUCUGAGAGGAUGGUCAGCCAGACUGGAACUGAGACACGGUCGAGACUACUACGGGAGGCAGCAGUGAGGAAUAUUGCACAAUGAGCGAAAGCUUGAUGGAGCAAUGACGCGUGCAGGAUGAAGGCCCUCGGGUUGUAAACUGCUUUUAUAAGAGAAGAUUAUGACGGUAACUUAUGAAUAAGGGACGGCUAACUACGUG